CUAUUCGUAUCACUAUUGCAAAGAAAAAUUACUGAUAAAUAACGAUAAGUAGAAACCUACAAUUGGCUGGGAAUCUUUACUACCAUAAUCAUAACUCACAAGACUACGAAAGCAAUGAUAAAUUUCAACUUUCGAGAUAAGAUUUUACUCCAUUUGCAUGGCGGAACGGGUCGGAAUUAUUUCGUUAUAGUAAUGUCCCUGUUACGCUAUAUGUCCUGUACACAUAAUAGGUAAAAGGGCGUGUACGAGUGACGUCAUUUUAAGGAUGGGUAAUGUCGAGGGGCGGUCGGAAACGCGACGUACCAGGAAAUUAAUCCGAUUCAAGAUUAUGAUAAUGAAAACAUCGUGGCACGACGGAUGUCACCGAACACGCUUACACUGCGGGCACACGACAGACGUCAGUGGUGAUAACACCCCUCGCCAACCAAUCUCCACGACUAUUCAAAAACGAUUUCACCCCAAGUGAAUAUACACAACAGCCGCGGUGAAGAUUUUUAUACAAAUAUAUUAUGCACGUUAUGACCACGAGUACUUCGCUUUGUCACAUCAUAAUAAUAUAUUAUUUAUAUUAUGCAUAUUGUCGACGGCUACUGCAAUGGUUGUCGAUACAUUAGUAUUAUAUAUAUUAUUAACUUUGUGUACUAUAAGAAUAAUAAAUUCAU